rnacentral:rRNA from 1 species
AUGCACUGCAGGUGGCAUAUUAUCAAGAAGGCUGAGGAGAUGCUAGGACCAUUCUUUGCUGACCGUCCAGAGCUGCACAAGGCAUUCGAGUUGUGUGUGGACCACAGCUUGACGAUGGAGGAGUUUAAACGAAGCUGGACAGCUAUGAUUGGAACAUAUCAAACUACGCAGCUCAGCGAGGGGUUCAAUGCUGUUUUGAAGCGGUACAUGAGCCCUGGCAACUCAUUGCUGCAGUUUGCCAAUCAAUACACCGCUUUGCAACAAAAAAUACUGGGAUCUGAGCUACAACAAGAAGCAAAGACCGCGCUCAAGCAGCCUAAAUUGCUAACAUAUUUAUCGAUGGAAAGGCAGAUGAGCAAGAUAUAUACGAACAAGAUUUUUAACAAGUGA